rnacentral:rRNA from 1 species
AGUGAACGCUGGCGGUAGGCCUAACACAUGCAAGUCGAACGGCAGCACAGUAAGAGCUUGCUCUUACGGGUGGCGAGUGGCGGACGGGUGAGGAAUACAUCGGAAUCUACUUUUUCGUGGGGGAUAAUGUAGGGAAACUUACGCUAAUACCGCAUACGACCUACGGGUGAAAGCAGGGGAUCUUCGGACCUUGCGCGAUUGAAUGAGCCGGUGUCGGAUUAGCUAGUUGGCGGGGUAAAGGCCCACCAAGGCGACGAUCCGUAGCUGGUCUGAGAGGAUGAUCAGCCACACUGGAACUGAGACACGGUCCAGACUCCUACGGGAGGCGGCAGUGGGGAAUAUUGGACAAUGGGCGCAAGCCUGAUCCAGCCAUACCGCGUGGGUGAAGAAGGCCUUCGGGUUGUAAAGCCCUUUUGUUGGGAAAGAAAAGCAGCAGGUUAAUACCCCGCUGUUCUGACGGUACCCAAAGAAUAAGCACCGGCUAACUUCGUG